AACGGGGGGGGCUAGCGUUGUUCGGAAUUAUUGGGCGUAAAGCGCACGUAGGCGGCUUUGCAAGUCAGAGGUGAAAGCCCGGGGCUCAACCCCGGAAUUGCCUUUGAGACUGCAUCGCUAGAAUUGUGGAGAGGUAAGUGGAAUUCCGAGUGUAGAGGUGAGAUUCGUAGAUAUUCGGAAGAACACCAGUGGCGAAGGCGACUUACUGGACACAUAUUGACGCUGAGGUGCGAAAGCGUGGGGAGCAAACAGG
rnacentral:rRNA from 1 species